rnacentral:rRNA from 1 species
GGGAACUAGUUGUAGGGGCCAUUCCACGGCUUCUGUGACGAAGCUAACGCAUUAAGUUCCCCGCCUGGGGAGUACGGUCGCAAGACUAAAACUCAAAGGAAUUGACGGGGGCCCGCACAAGCGGCGGAGCAUGCGGAUUAAUUCGAUGCAACGCGAAGAACCUUACCAAGGCUUGACAUAUACAGGAAACGUGCAGAGAUGUACGCCCCGCAAGGUCUGUAUACAGGUGGUGCAUGGUUGUCGUCAGCUCGUGUCGUGAGAUGUUGGGUUAAGUCCCGCAACGAGCGCAACCCUCGUCCUAUGUUGCCAGCACGUAAUGGUGGGAACUCAUGGGAGACUGCCGGGGUCAACUCGGAGGAAGGUGGGGAUGACGUCAAAUCAUCAUGCCCCUUAUGUCUUGGGCUUCGCGCAUGCUACAAUGGCCGGUACAAAGGGUCGCGAAACCGCAAGGUGGAGCCAAUCCCAAAAAGCCGGUCUCAGUUCGGAUUGGGGUCUGCAACUCGACCCCAUGAAGUUGGAGUCGCUAGUAAUCGCAGAUCAGCAACGCUGCGGUGAAUACGUUCCCGGGCCUUGUACACACCGCCCGUCAAGUCAUGAAAGUCGGUAACACCCGAAGCCGGUGGCCUAACCUUUUGGAGGGAGCCGU